rnacentral:rRNA from 1 species
GACGAACGCUGGCGGCGUGCUUAACACAUGCAAGUCGAACGCUGAAGCUCAGCUUGCUGGGUGGAUGAGUGGCGAACGGGUGAGUAACACGUGAGUAACCUGCCCUCUUCUUUGGGAUAACGCCCGGAAACGGGUGCUAAUACUGGAUAUUCACUGAUUCUCGCAUGGGGGUUGGUGGAAAGGUUUUUUCUGGUGGGGGAUGGGCUCGCGGCCUAUCAGCUUGUUGGUGGGGUGAUGGCCUACCAAGGCUUUGACGGGUAGCCGGCCUGAGAGGGUGACCGGUCACAUUGGGACUGAGAUACGGCCCAGACUCCUACGGGAGGCAGCAGUGGGGAAUAUUGCACAAUGGGCGAAAGCCGGAUGCAGCGACGCCGCGUGAGGGAUGGAGGCCUUCGGGUUGUAAACCUCUUUCGCUCAUGGUCAAGCCGCAGCUUUGGGUUGUGGUGAGGGUAGUGGGUAAAGAAGCGCCGGCUAACUACGUG